rnacentral:rRNA from 1 species
CAGCCGCCGCGGGAAUACGUAGGGUGCGAGCGUUAAUCGGAAUUACUGGGCGUAAAGCGUGCGCAGGCGGUUCGUUAAGACAGAUGUGAAAUCCCCGGGCUUAACCUGGGAACUGCAUUUGUGACUGGCGAGCUAGAGUAUGGCAGAGGGGGGUAGAAUUCCACGUGUAGCAGUGAAAUGCGUAGAGAUGUGGAGGAAUACCGAUGGCGAAGGCAGCCCCCUGGGCCAAUACUGACGCUCAUGCACGAAAGCGUGGGGAGCAAACAGGAUUAGAUACCCGGGUAGUCCCUGUCUCUUAUAC